UACGAAGGGGGCUAGCGUUGCUCGGAAUCACUGGGCGUAAAGGGUGCGUAGGCGGGUUUUUAAGUCAGAGGUGAAAUCCUGGAGCUCAACUCCAGAACUGCCUUUGAUACUGGGAAUCUUGAGUUCGGGAGAGGAGAGUGGAAUUCCCAGUGUAGAGGUGAAAUUCGUAGAUAUUCGCAAGAACACCAGUGGCGAAGGCGGCUCACUGGCCCGGAACUGACGCUGAGACGCGAAAGCGUGGGGAGCAAACAGG
rnacentral:rRNA from 1 species